GUGGGAGUUGUGUAAGUGAUCCUUUGACCUGAGAUCACCCUGAUUCCUUGUGUACUUGGAUCCAUAUUUUGGUCCACUUUCUAACUUGGUUCUUUGAUCCUUGUAUGUGAUGUUCUGGAUAUGGUGAAGAGUACAUGGAGGUUGUGAGUGAUCAAUAAGGGAUCAGUUACUUCUAAUAUUGGGAGCGAACAUCCUAUAUGAUCUCAU
rnacentral:lncRNA from 1 species